ACAGAGGGUGCGAGCGUUAAUCGGAAUUACUGGGCGUAAAGCGUGCGUAGGUGGUCUUUUAAGCUGGAUGUGAAAGCCCCGGGCUUAACCUGGGAACUGCAUUCAGGACUGGGAGACUCGAGUCUGGGAGAGGGUGGUGGAAUUUCCGGUGUAGCGGUGAAAUGCGUAGAUAUCGGAAGGAACAUCAGUGGCGAAGGCGACCGCCUGGCCUAAGACUGACACUGAGGCACGAAAGCGUGGGGAGCAAACAGGA
rnacentral:rRNA from 1 species